UCCAGCCUGGGCAACAGCGAGACUCCGUCUCAAAAAAAAAAAAAAAAGUUUUAAGAAAUUAAAGUUUAUAAACCAAAUGUUCAUUGUGAGCUAAGGUUAAUUUAUUAUUGAAGAAAUAAAACAUUUUAAUGAAAUUCAGUGUAGCCUAAGUGUCCAGUGUUUAUAAAGUUUAUACAGUAAUACGUUUAUACGGAACAUCCUAGGCCUUCACAUUUACUCACCACUCAAUCAGUGACUCACCCAGAGCAACUUCCAGUACUGCAAGCUCCAUUCAUGGAUGAAGGCAAGCAUUUAUUCCUAAGGUCUGGAUUCUGCAUAUCACCUACAAGUUAACUGCUUUUGUGUUCUAAAAGAGAGAGGAAAAAUGAAGUUGUCAACCUUAUUGAAAAACAAGGAGGGAAACUAAGGAACAUGCUUUCGCUUUCGAGGUUCUAGGCCAGAAGUCAUGAACUGUAACUUGUCCAAGUUAUGGCCAAGCAGAUAUGUUUUGUUUGGCCCACAUGGAGCAUAUUUUUUCUAAUUGAAUCAACAUUUUAAAAUAUGAUGAUUUAAUAUUUAAAAAUAAAAAGUGCAUCUCUA